rnacentral:lncRNA from 1 species
UAGCUCACCCCUCUCCCUUAACCCCCAGGUUUGCAGGUACAGGGUAGACCAGGAGGUCAGCAAGAGUAAAGAAGUCUUGUGUAUGUAAUAGUUAGAAUGUGGACAUGACAAAUUGUAUAAUGAUGUAUAGAUAUGUAAUGUAACGAUGUUGAGGUUAAAAGUGUGCUUGACCAUAGUUAUUAUAAUCCCUUUUUGAUACAUGAUCUUAAUGUUUAUGGAUGUCUAUGUUUA